rnacentral:rRNA from 1 species
GGGGAAUUAGGGUUCGAUUCCGGAGAGGGAGCCUGAGAAACGGCUACCACAUCUAAGGAAGGCAGCAGGCGCGCAAAUUACCCAAUCCUAAUACAGGGAGGUAGUGACAAGAAAUAACAAUACAGGACUUUUUGGUUUUGUAAUUGGAAUGAGUUAAGUAUAAACCCCUUUACAAGUAUCAAUUGGAGGGCAAGUCUGGUGCCAGCAGCCGCGGUAAUUCCAGCUCCAAUAGCGUAUAUUAAAGUUGUUGCAGUUAAAAAGCUCGUAGUUGGAUUUCUGUUAAUAAUUUAUAUAUAAUAUUUGAUUAAUAUUUAUAUAAUAUUAACAUAAUUCAUAUUACUAAAUUUAUUAGUAUAUGAAAUUUUACUUUGAGAAAAUUAGAGUGCUUAAAGCAGGCAUAUGCCUUGAAUACUCCAGCAUGGAAUAAUAUUAAAGAUUUUUAUCUUUCUUAUUGGUUCUAAGAUAAAAAAUAAUGAUUAAUAGGGACAGUUGGGGGCAUUUGUAUUUAACAGUCAGAGGUGAAAUUCUUAGAUUUGKUAAAGACAAACUAAUGCGAAAGCAUUUGCCAAGGAUGUUUUCAUUAAUCAAGAACGAAAGUUAGGGGAUCGAAGACGAUCAGAUACCG